rfam:Podospora anserina genomic DNA, chromosome 5.
GCGGGUUUAGCUCAGUUGGGAGAGCGUCAGACUGAAGUCAACUUCAGGAAGUCAAUCUGAAGGUCAUGUGUUCGAUCCACAUAAACCGCA